rnacentral:lncRNA from 10 species
CUUGUGAUAGUGAGUUCUCAUGAGAUUUGGUUAUUCAAAAGCGUACAGCACCUCCCCGCUCACUCUCUCUUGCUCCUGCUUCCGCCGUCUAAGAUGCCUUACUCCCUCUUUGCUUUCUGCCAUGAUUGGCAGUUUCUUGAGGCCUCUCCAGAAGCAGAAGCUGCUGUGCUUCCUGUACAGCCUACAAAACUGUAAGCCAAUUAAAACUCUUUUCUUUAUAAAUUACCCAGUCUCAGGUAUUUCUUUAUAGCAGCGUGAGAAUGGAUUAAUACAAGUCUCAGGUAUUUCUUUUCUUUUUUUUGAGAUGGAGUCUCACUGUGUCGCCCAGGCUGGAGUGCAGUGGUGUGAUCUUGGCUCACUACAACCUCUGCCUCCCAGGUUCAAGCAAUUCUCAUGCCUCAGCCUCCCAGGUAGCUGGGACUACAGGUGCCCAGCACCACGCCUGACUAACUUUUUUUGUAUUUUUAGUAGAGACAGGGUUUCACCAUGUUGGCCAGGCUGGUUUGGAACUCCUGACCUCAGGCGAUCUGCCCGCUUUGGCCUCCCACAGUGCUGGGGUUACAGGCAUGAGCCACCGUGCCAUCAGGUAUUUCUUUAUAGCAGUGUGAGAACGGAUUAAUACUAGCACCUUUUCAUAUACCUGUUUGCCAUUUGUAUGUCUUCUUUUGAGAAAUGUCUAUUCAAAUCUUUUAUUAAUUUUAAAUUGGAUUAUUAGAUUUUUUUCCUAUUGAGUUGUUUGAGCUCCUUAUAUUUUUUUGUGAAUUAUUCUUUGUCAGAUGGAAAACUUGCAGAUAUUUAUUUUCUUCCACUCUGUAGGUUGUCUCUUCACUUUGUUGAUUGUUUCCUUUGCUGUGUAGAAGCGUUUUAACUUGAUGUGAUCCCAUUUGUCCAUUUUUGCUUUGGUUCCCUGUGCUUGUUGGGUAUUACUCGAGAAAUCUUUACCCAGUGCAAUGUCCUGGAGAGCUUUCUCAGUGUUUUCUUUAGUAGUUUCAUGUUUGAGGUCAUAGAUUUAAGUCUAUGAUCCAUUUUGAUUUGAUUUUUGCAUAUGUCAAAAAAUAGGGGUCUAGUUUCAUUCUUCUGCAUAUAGAUGUCCAGUUUUCUUGGCAUUGUUUAUUGAAGUGACUGUUAUUUCCCCAGUGUAUGAAUGUUCUUGGCACCUUUGUUGAAAUUGAAUUCACUGUAGAUGUAUGAAGUUGUUUUUGGGCUCUUUAUUAUGUUCCAUCGGUCUACGUAACUUGUUAUGCUAGUACCUUGUUGUUUUGGUUACUAUAGCUCUAUAAUACGAUUUGAAGUCAGAUAAUGGGAUUCCUCCAAUUUUGUUCUUUUUGCUUAGGAUAGCUUUGGCUACUCUAGAUCUUUUGUGGUUCUGUUUAAAUUUUAGAAUUGUUUUUUCUGUUUCUGUGAAGAAUGUCAUUGGUAUUUUGAUAGGAAUUGCAUUGAAUCUGUAGAUUGCUUUGAGUAGUAUGAACAUUUUAACAAUAUUGCUUCUUCUAAUCUCACUGUGUCGCCCAGGCUGGAGUGCAGUGGCUCCAUCUCAGCUCGCUGCAACCUCUGCCUUAUGGGUUCAGGCAAUUCUCCCACCUCAGCCUCCCAAGUGGCUGCAACUGCAGGCGCAUGCCACCGUGCCCGGCUAAUUUUUGUAUUUUUAGUAGAGAUGGGGUUUCACCAUGUUGGCCAGGCUGGUCUCGAAUUCCUGACCUCAAGUGAUCUGCCCACCUCGGCCUCCCAUAGUGCUAUAAUUAACAGUAUGAGCCAUCAAGCCCUGCCGUAUUUCAUUGUAUGAACAUAUUACAGUUCAUUUAUCCAUUCACUUGUUGAAGAACAUCUUGGUUGCUUACAAGAUUUGGCAAUUAUGAAUAAAGCUGCUAUAAACAUCUGUGC